rnacentral:rRNA from 1 species
AUUGAACUCUGGCGUCAGGCCUAACACAUGCAAUUCGAACGAGUGGAGGACGGGUUAGUAAUGUAUGGGAAACUGCCCGCUUGGGUGGGAUGACUACUUGAAACAGUAGAUAAUACCUCAUACCCUCGGAUGUGCCCAGAUGGGAUGAGCUAGUAGGUGGGUUAACGGCUCACCUAGGCGACGAUCCCUCGCUGGUCUGAGAGGAUGACAAGCCACACUGGAACUGAGACACGGUCCAGACUCCUACGGGAGGAAGCAGUGGGGAAUAUUGCACAAUGGGCGCAAGCCUGAGGCAGCCAGGCCGCGUGGGUGAAGAAGGCCUUCGGGUUGUAAAGCACUUUCAGCGAGGAGGCGUUACUCGCAGAAGAAGCACCGGCUAACUCCGUGCCAGCAGCCGCGGUAAUUC